GUGUUAUAUGAAAAGAGAUAAAAUUAGCACUUCUUUGAUAAGGAUGGAAGAGGUCCUAGUGGCCUUAACCACACAUAAUACAGUUAAGGCAUUGCCAUUUACUCUGUGGCAUCUAACUAUGUUUUUGU
ensembl:snRNA